UCUCCGUUGGUGAACCAGCGGAGGGAUCAUUACCGAGUUUACAACUCCCAAACCCAAUGUGAGCGUUACCAAACUGUUGCCUCGGCGGGGUCACGCCCCGGGUGCGUCGCAGCCCCGGAACCAGGCGCCCGCCGGAGGAACCAACCAAACUCUUUCUGUAGUCCCCUCGCGGACGUUAUUUCUUACAGCUCUGAGCAAAAAUUCAAAAUGAAUCAAAACUUUCAACAACGGAUCUCUUGGUUCUG
rnacentral:misc_RNA from 1 species